rnacentral:rRNA from 1 species
ACGGGUGAGUAAUAUAUCGGAACGUGCCCUAGAGUGGGGGAUAACUAGUCGAAAGACUAGCUAAUACCGCAUACGAUCUACGGAUGAAAGUGGGGGAUCGCAAGACCUCAUGCUCCUGGAGCGGCCGAUAUCUGAUCAGCUAGUUGGUGGGGUAAAAGCCUACCAAGGCAACGAUCAGUAGCUGGUCUGAGAGGACGACCAGCCACACUGGGACUGAGACACGGCCCAGACUCCUACGGGAGGCAGCAGUGGGGAAUUUUGGACAAUGGGGGCAACCCUGAUCCAGCAAUGCCGCGUGAGUGAAGAAGGCCUUCGGGUUGUAAAGCUCUUUUGUCAGGGAAGAAACGGUAGUAGCUAAUAUCUAUUACUAAUGACGGUACCUGAAGAAUAAGCACCGGCUAACUACGUGCCAGCAGCCGCGGUAAUACGUAGGGUGCAAGCGUUAAUCGGAAUUACUGGGCGUAAAGCGUGCGCAGGCGGUUGUGUAAGUCAGAUGUGAAAUCCCCGGGCUCAACCUGGGAAUUGCAUUUGAGACUGCACGGCUAGAGUGUGUCAGAGGGGGGUAGAAUUCCACGUGUAGC